UCCUCGGUGGCUUAGUGGUUAGAGCGCUGGAUUAGAGAUUCAGAGGUGUGGAUUCGAAUCCCACUCGAGGAG